UAGACAUGGGGAAUCUGGGGCCAUACCCAGACAUGCCGAGGGUACAGCUGUAUGUUAACCAAAACCCUCGGGAUUUGUGUGCCCAGUGAAAUUCCAGAAGCUGUGGUUUAAACCGCAGUGGAAAGUCUCACUUUCUCUGCUUUUGACAACAUGCGCUUGUCUCCUACAAGCCCUUCUAAGAACACCUGGGUUUGGUGCUUAACUUCCCUGGUCUCAUCAAACUGAGCUUGAUUCCAGUGCUAGACUCUAAUGAUGUGCAAGAAAUGUUUUGAGAGGAGACAGUUUUAAAAUCCACAUGAGUGGUGUGCUGGGAAAGGGACAAGAUCCCAAUGAGAUGUCCAGAGAGAAAUAGGUGGUUCAUAUCUUGUUCUCUCUCAGCUCCCAUUAGUAUGGAAUUUCCUUAUUUCUCAGACAUAUGAUCUCUGUGUUUCAGCCUCCAUCUGUUUUUCUCUUUGACUGAAACGUUUCCUGUGUGUGACCCCACUGCCACACAAUACCUGCCUACAUUCUAGUCAUCCUUUCAGACACCUGUACUCAAGACUUGCCAAGGAAGAGGUUUCUGGCCACCAGAAUAUUUGAAAAUACAAAAUUGUAACCUUUUAGCAUUUCUCAGUGAUCCUGGCCAUCUGUAACAAGGCCACAGACACCGCAGACUCCUGAGCCAGCUCGGAGGAAACCACGGAGCCUGCAAGAGAGGACAGAAGAGAGCUCCUUGACCUCAGGGUAUCUCCCAGGAAAUCCCAGCCCUGCAGGAGCUGCCCAGACUGACACCAGGGCCCAGGCACCUCCGGCUGUGUAUCCCAGGUGAGGCUCUCACUGUGCCUGGACUCCUGUCAGUGUCCUGGGUGACUGUGUGAGUCUGACUGUCAGAAAAUGGUCGGCAUGGGGGAUGGGCUGUCCUGACUUCCAGUCCUACAACUCACCCUGGGACACUUGACUCCCACUGGCUGCAGCUCUGCCACCACCUGCUGGAGGAGGAGACUCAGCCCAGGAACUUUCCUACUCCAGGUGACCUCACAGUACUUUUCACCUAAGAGGUUUCAGACCAGAGUCCAGCCUCACUCUCUGCCAGUGUGACCCACCCUGCCCUGCCUAGCCCACCAUAGAAAGGUUGAAAAUGUGGUGCCCGAGAAGGUGGGACAGGUGCAAUUUCUGUAACCCAGACAGAACCAUACAGGGUCCCAGAAUGUCUAUG
rnacentral:lncRNA from 10 species